AGUCUGUCCUGAUGCUCGGUUGCUAACCGAGCGUACAGAGAAGACACCAGAGGAAACACUCUCCAAGCUAGUAAAGAGUGAGCUGCGAAGCUCACUAUAGCGAGGAGGGGAAAAUUAACCUGG
rnacentral:ribozyme from 1 species